rnacentral:rRNA from 1 species
CUACGGGAGGCAGCAGUGAGGAAUUUUGCGCAAUGGGGGAAACCCUGACGCAGCAACGCCGCGUGAGCGAAGAAGGCCUUCGGGUCGUAAAGCUCUGUCAAGUGGGAAAAAAAUUCUUUGAUGAACAGUCAAAGGACUUGAUGGUACCACUGGAGGAAGCACCGGCUAACUCCGUGCCAGCAGCCGCGGUAAUACGGAGGGUGCAAGCGUUGUUCGGAAUUACUGGGCGUAAAGAGCGUGUAGGCGGUUUGACAAGUCAGAUGUGAAAGCCCCGGGCUCAACCCGGGAAGUGCAUUUGAAACUGUUUCACUAGAGUAUGGGAGAGGAGAUUGGAAUUCCUGGUGUAGAGGUGAAAUUCGUAGAUAUCAGGAGGAACACCCGUGGCGAAGGCGAUUCUCUGGACCAAUACUGACGCUGAGACGCGAAAGCGUGGGGAGCAAACAGGAUUAGAUACCCUUGUAGUC